rnacentral:lncRNA from 1 species
AAAAGAAAGAGGGAAAAUAGAAAUAGGAAACAAGAAAGGAGAUCCAAAUGGCCAUGUGCCUUAUGAUCCUCUACAUGCUCAGCCUAGCCUGAUGGGUCGAAACUAGGAGUAGGACAUCUUUAUACCUAAAAGAGGAAGAAGAGUAAAUGAGAUAGUUGAUCCAUUACAAUUAGAUUGCCUUGGCAGUGGAUUGGUUUUAACGAAU